rnacentral:lncRNA from 1 species
GUUGUGGUCGCAGGAACUGGUGGAGUUUUGUGGAGGGCAGGUUUGAGGAGCGGAGGUCUCUCCACCGGCAGCGGCGGACCAGCGCCAUCUGCGGUUAAUCAUCUGCGGCGACAGAGGAGCGAAUCGCGCUGAAGCUGUGUGGCGUAGUACGAGAGUAGCGGUGGUACAUUUUGUGUGGCUUUUUGCCACAAUUGCAGCCCAAAACAUCCAGUGGGUGGAGAGGUGCCUGGAUAAGGGGCGCCUGCUACCCAAGCUUCGCAUCGCAGGCUAGAAGCGAGAAGAUGCUGCUGAAUAAGGUGGCUGCUGUCAGCAAGGCGGCUGAAAAGUUCA